UACGGAGGGUGCAAGCGUUAUCCGGAUUUACUGGGUUUAAAGGGUGCGCAGGCGGAUAUGUAAGUCAGUGGUGAAAUCUCUGGCUUAACCCGGAAAUUGCCAUUGAUACUAUAUAUCUUGAAUGUUGUGGAGGUAAGCGGAAUAUGUCAUGUAGCGGUGAAAUGCUUAGAUAUGACAUAGAACACCUAUUGCGAAGGCAGCUUACUACGCAGAUAUUGACGCUCAUGCACGAAAGCGUGGGGAUCAAACAGG
rnacentral:rRNA from 1 species